rnacentral:misc_RNA from 1 species
AACGCACAUUGCGCCCCUUGGUAUUCCAUGGGGCAUGCCUGUUCGAGCGUCAUUUUGUACCCUCAAGCACUGCUUGGUGUUGGGCGUUUGUCCUGCAGAGGACUCGCCUGAAAGCGAUUGGCGGCCAACGUAGUCGUGGCAGAGCGCAGCACAAUCUCGCGUCUCUCCCCUCUGCGUCGGCGUCCAUAAGCCUACAAUCUCAACGUUUGACCUCGGAUCAGGUAGGGAUACCCGCUGAACUUAA